GGAUACGGUAGCUGAAGAGAGCCGUCCGUUGACAGUUCACUAUGGACGCUGUCAUGGAGUCGCUCUCUUCAGACUCCUAGAU
rfam:Haemonchus contortus, ISE/inbred ISE, WGS project CAVP01000000 data, contig: Hcontortus_1625